AAGACCUUGCGCUUUUGGAGCGGCCGAUGCCUGAUUAGCUUGUUGGUAAGGUAAAGGCUUACCAAGGCUUCGAUCAGUAGCUGGUCUGAGAGGACGGCCAGCCACACUGGGACUGAGACACGGCCCAGACUCCUACGGGAGGCAGCAGUGGGGAAUUUUGGACAAUGGGGGAAACCCUGAUCCAGCCAUGCCGCGUGAGUGAAGAAGGCCUUCGGGUUGUAAAGCUCUUUCAGCCGGGAAGAAAAGGUUGCGAUUAAUAAUCGCAAUUGAUGACGGUACCGGAAGAAGAAGCACCGGCUAACUACGUGCCAGCAGCCGCGGUAAUACGUAGGGUGCGAGCGUUAAUCGGAAUUACUGGGCGUAAAGCGUGCGCAGGUGGUUUUGUAAGUCAGAUGUGAAAGCCCCGGGCUCAACCUGGGAACU
rnacentral:rRNA from 1 species